CUUCUCUGUCCUCCCUAUGACCACAGGAGACCCAGGAGCUGCAAAAGAAGCAGCAGUGGUACCAGGAGAACCAGGUGACGCUGACACCUGAGGAUGAAGACCUGUACCUGAGUUACUGCUCUCAGGCCAUGUUCCGCAUUCGCAUCCUGGAGCAGCGCCUCAAUCGACACAAGGAACUGGCCCCACUGAAGUACCUGGCUCUGGAGGAAAAGCUCUACAAGGACCCACGCCUGGGGGAGCUCCAGAAAAUAUUCGCUUAAUGUCUCUCCUGGGGCCUCAGCCAGAACUGCCAGAGAAAGGAAACCUCUUCCCUGGAGCCUGGCUCCUGUGUUCCCUCUACCCAGCCAAUGCCUGUUUACACAGACACCUGGCCUCACUGCCAGCCCACCUUUCCUACAGCCCUGUUUGUUCCUGCUUCUCUUGGUUUUCCUGUAAAUAGACACACUCUUAAUUGGC